AACCUUAUGGACCUGCGGGCGUAUACCUGCGGAGGGAUCAUUACCUAGAGUUGUAGGCUUUGCCUGCUAUCUCUUACCCAUGUCUUUUGAGUACCUUACGUUUCCUCGGUGGGUUCGCCCGCCGGUUGGACAAAACUUAAACCCUUUGUAGUUGCAAUCAGCGUCUGAAAAAACUUAAUAGUUACAACUUUUAACAAUGGAUCU
rnacentral:misc_RNA from 1 species